rnacentral:rRNA from 1 species
ACGAACGCUGGCGGCGUGCUUAACCCAUGCAAGUCGAACGGUGAACUCCGCUUGCGGGGGGAUCAGUGGCGAACGGGUGAGUAACACGUGGGCAACCUGCCCUCAGCUCUGGGAUAACUCCAAGAAAUUGGGGCUAAUACCGGAUAUGACCGCUGACCGCAUGGUCUGGUGGUGGAAAGAUUUAUCGGCUGGGGAUGGGCCCGCGGCCUAUCAGCUUGUUGGUGGGGUAGUGGCCUACCAAGGCGACGACGGGUAGCCGGCCUGAGAGGGUGACCGGCCACACUGGGACUGAGACACGGCCCAGACUCCUACGGGAGGCAGCAGUGGGGAAUAUUGCGCAAUGGGCGAAAGCCUGACGCAGCGACGCCGCGUGGGGGAUGACGGCCUUCGGGUUGUAAACCUCUUUCAGCAGGGACGAAGCGAAAGUGACGGUACCUGCAGAAGAAGCACCGGCCAACUACGUG